GGUCUUUUUUUAUGAUAUAGGAGGCAAAUGAGCAGACGGAUCACCUGAUGGUAAGCGAUUACCGCCGCCCAUGGACACCCGCAACACCAGAAGGGUUGCAAGCGCGUUGCCGGCCUUUAAGAUGGGAGUACGCUCUUUUCUUGAAGGUCGUAUCGGUCCGGAAAUACCGCAGGCGACAGUUCAUUCCACAGUUUGGAUGUGCGAGGCAGGAAGUUUCUGGAGAAACGCACAGUUGAGGACUGCCAACCAUCUAAGUGGUGAAGAUGGUAAUGUUGUCGCGUAGGGCGAUGGCGAAAAGAAGCGGCAGGGACUAAUCCGAACAAUUCCUCGGAGCACUCCCCGUUAUACAUGCGAUAGAAAAUGCAGAGCGAGGCCACAUCUCUACUAUAAUUUCUUAAAAACACACUUGCGAUUUAUGACGUAUUAAAAAAACUACUUACUAGAUCUCGUUUAAACCAAUUUUCGGUGGAAGUUUGCAUGGUAAUGUACAUGAUAUAUUUUUUUAGUUUUAUCAUUCUCUUAUUUUAGAAGUUACAGGGGGGGGGGGACACAUUUUACCACUUUGGAAGUGUCUCUUGCGCAAACUAUUCAGUUUAGAAAAAAAUGAUAUUAGAAACCUCAAUAUCAUUUUUGAAGACCUAUCCAUACACGUAUGGGUUUGAUGAAAAUAAAAUUUUGAGUUUCAGUUUUAAGUAUGCGGAACCCCCAAAAUUUAUUGUUUUUUGUCUAUUUUUGUGUGAAAAUCUUAAUGCGGUUCACAGAAUACAUCUACUUACCAAGUUUCAACAGUAUAGUUCUUAUAGUUUCGGAAAAAAGUGGCUGUGACAUACGGACGGACAGA